rnacentral:rRNA from 1 species
CCUACGGGUGGCAGCAGUGAGGAAUAUUGGUCAAUGGGCGCGAGCCUGAACCAGCCAAGUAGCGUGAAGGAUGACUGCCCUACGGGUGGUAAACUUCUUUUAUAAAGGAAUAAAGGGAGGCACGUGUGCCUUUUGUAAGGACUUUAGGAAGAAGGAACGGCAAACGCCGGGCCAGCAUCCGCUGGAAUACGGAGGAUCCGAGCGUUACCCGGAUGUAGUGGGUUUAAAGGGAGCGUAGAUGGGUUGUUAAGUCAGUUGUGACAUUUUGCGGCUCAACCGUCAAAUUGCAAUUGAUCCUGGCAGUCUUGAGUACAGUUGAUGUAGGCGGAAUUCGUGGUGUAGCGG